GACAAUUUUUGGCGUGAAAAGUUUGACUUCGAGGUAGUCGACUGGCCUUCACAGUACCACGUGGUACAAAGCCGAGUCGCGUUGGCUCGCUUCAUGGCGGUCCUGCAUUACACUUAUCUCAAGCUCAAAAUGCCAGGGCCCAAUGGCGUGAUCACCGUUUCAGGAAAUUUCACGCAAUCAGACAUCUGCGACAUGAAGCAUGGCAACUAGACCGAUGCUAUCCCGUGACCGCGAUGAGUGCUUUUCACCACGGCCAUCCUCCACGUCUCUUGUUGACAAUGCCACGGCAACGGUACAAAACAAUCCUUCUAAUACAAAUAAAAUUGUGUGUACCUUUCUUUGAGGGGAAAAAAUGAUGCUGAAACGUAUAUAGAUUGGGAGCUAGGUUUAAGUGAACAAUUCACAUGCUUCCAUGUACUUGAUAGUCGCAAGGUUCAAAUUGAUAGUAGUAAAUUUACUUUUGCUGCUUUAUCUUAGUGGAAUGAGAUAGAGAAAAAAAAAUUCCCCACACACGGGUUGAUAUGAAAAAAAUAAUGAGAGAAAAAUAUGUCCCUUUUAGUUAUGUUUUUAACUUGCGUUCAAAAUUACGACGUUUGACACAAGAUGAUAAAACUGUUGAUGAUUACUACAAUGAGUUCCAAAUUAUAACCUUGCGAUCUGUUUAGAUGAAACCGAACAAAGAAAAAUGGAU
rnacentral:lncRNA from 1 species